rnacentral:rRNA from 1 species
CCUACGGGAGGCAGCAGUGGGGAAUUUUGGACAAUGGGCGCAAGCCUGAUCCAGCAAUGCCGCGUGCGGGAAGAAGGCCUUCGGGUUGUAAACUGCUUUUGUACGGAACGAAACGGUCCUGGUUAAUACCUGGGGCUAAUGACGGUACCGUAAGAAUAAGCACCGGCUAACUACGUGCCAGCAGCCGCGGUAAU